rnacentral:rRNA from 1 species
CCAGUCGAAGAUACCAGCUGGCUGCAACUGUUUAUUAAAAACACAGCACUGUGCAAACACGAAAGUGGACGUAUACGGUGUGACGCCUGCCCGGUGCUGGAAGGUUAAUUGAUGGGGUUAUCCGUAAGGAGAAGCUCUUGAUCGAAGCCCCAGUAAACGGCGGCCGUAACUAUAACGGUCCUAAGGUAGCGAAAUUCCUUGUCGGGUAAGUUCCGACCUGCACGAAUGGCGUAAUGAUGGCCAGGCUGUCUCCACCCGAGACUCAGUGAAAUUGAACUCGCUGUGAAGAUGCAGUGUACCCGCGGCAAGACGGNUCCACCCGAGACUCAGUGAAAUUGAACUCGCUGUGAAGAUGCAGUGUACCCGCGGCAAGACGGAAAGACCCCGUGAACCUUUACUAUAGCUUGACACUGAACAUUGAGCCUUGAUGUGUAGGAUAGGUGGGAGACUAUGAAGUGUGGACGCCAGUCUGCAUGGAGUCAACCUUGAAAUACCACCCUUUAACGUUUGAUGUUCUAACCUAGGCCCGUAAUCCGGGUCGGGGACCGUGUCUGGUGGGUAGUUUGACUGGGGCGGUCUCCUCCUAAAGAGUAACGGAGGAGCACGAAGGUUGGCUAAGCAUGGUCGGACAUCAUGCGGUUAGUGCAAAGGCAUAAGCCAGCUUGACUGUGAGAGUGACGGCUCGAGCAGGUACGAAAGUAGGUCUUAGUGAUCCGGUGGUUCUGAAUGGAAGGGCCAUCGCUCAACGGAUAAAAGGUACUCCGGGGAUAACAGGCUGAUACCGCCCAAGAGUUCAUAUCGACGGCGGUGUUUGGCACCUCGAUGUCGGCUCAUCACAUCCUGGGGCUGAAGUAGGUCCCAAGGGUAUGGCUGUUCGCCAUUUAAAGUGGUACGCGAGCUGGGUUUAGAACGUCGUGAGACAGUUCGGUCCCUAUCUGCCGUGGGCGUUGGAAGAUUGAGAGGGGUUGCUCCUAGUACGAGAGGACCGGAGUGAACGCACCACUGGUGUUCGGGUUGUCAUGCCAAUGGCAUUGCCCGGUAGCUAAGUGCGGAAGAGAUAACCGCUGAAAGCAUCUAAGCGGGAAACUUGCCUCGAGAUGAGUCUUCCCUGUCACCU